AAAGGAAUAGACGGGGACCCGCACAAGCGGUGGAUGAUGUGGUUUAAUUCGAUGCAACGCGAAAAACCUUACCCACCUUUGACAUGGCAGGAAGGUCUCAGAGAUGGGAUUGUGCCCGAAAGGGAACCUGCACACAGGUGCUGCAUGGCUGUCGUCAGCUCGUGUCGUGAGAUGUUGGGUUAAGUCCCGCAACGAGCGCAACCCUUGCCAUUAGUUGCUACGAAAGGGCACUCUAAUGGGACUGCCGGUGACAAACCGGAGGAAGGUGGGGAUGACGUCAAGUCCUCAUGGCCCUUAUAGGUGGGGCUACACACGUCAUACAAUGGCUGGUACAGAGGGUUGCCAACCCGCGAGGGGGAGCCAAUCCCACAAAGCCAGUCGUAGUCCGGAUCGCAGUCUGCAACUCGACUGCGUGAAGUCGGAAUCGCUAGUAAUCGCGGAUCAGAAUGUCGCGGUGAAUACGUUCCCGGGUCUUGUACACACCGCCCGU
rnacentral:rRNA from 1 species